CCUGAUCCAGCAACGCCUCGUGGAGGAAGAACGCUUCUUGUUGUAAACUCCUUUUGUGCGGGAUGAGACAAGGACAGUACCGCACGAAUAAGUCACGGCUAACUAGGUGCCCGCAGCCGCGGUAAUACCUAGGUGACAAGCUUUAUCCGGAUUUACUGGGCGUAAAGGGCUCGAAGGCGUGAAUUCAAGUCUGGCGUGAAAUCUCCUGGCUUAACCAAACUGGGUCGUUAGAUACUGUUUUGGUGGAGCAGUGUCCCGGGGUGUGGAAUUCUCGGUGGAGUGGUGAAAUAAAAACAUAUCGGGAAGAACAUCUGUGGCGAACGCGGCACCCCUGGCACUGACCUGACGCUCAUGAGCGAAAGCGUGGGACGCCCGGGGUCUAACCCC
rnacentral:rRNA from 1 species